rnacentral:misc_RNA from 1 species
GAAAUGCGAUAAGUAAUGUGAAUUGCAGAAUUCAGUGAAUCAUCGAAUCUUUGAACGCACAUUGCGCCCUCUGGUAUUCCGGGGGGCAUGCCUGUCCGAGCGUCAUUACUGCCCUCAAGCGCGGCUUGUGUGUUGGGCGCCGUCCCCUUCCCGGGGGACGGGCCCGAAAGGCAGUGGCGGCGCCGUGUCCGGUCCUCGAGCGUAUGGGGCUUUGUCACCCGCUCCGGAGGCCCGGCCGGUCGCCGCCGAUCCAACCCAAACUUUUUACCGGUUGACCUCGGAUCAGGCAGGGAUACCCGCUGAACUUAA